GUUUUCUGCAGCUGACUGCGUCCUACAGUGUGAAACUCUUUCUGAGUUUCGUGACAGCAGUGUGAGGAGCUGCAGUGCUGUCCCACCGUUUGGAGGGAAGCAUUACCUGACUUUUGAGACGGUCUCACUGGUCCCAUACGACAGGAAGCUAAUCAACACUGCCCUCAUGAGCAGAGAACAGAUUGAGUGAUUGGAUGCGUACUACCAGAAGAUCCGCAGCGAGGUGGGCCCCAGGCUGGACAGGCAGGGAUUGAAGGAGGAGCACGGCUGGGUAAUGAAACACACAGAGCCCUUUACCUUAGGAAGUAUCCUGGUGAUAGCCUCCUCAUUCACACUGACCGCUGUGCUCCUGUCCAGUACCCUCCUCCGGCGCCGUCUGUUCUAGAGCGCAGCAGGGAGACUGUGGGACGGAUUUCUCUGGGGUGAAAGAGUCUGGAUAACUAUUUCUCAGAAUGCUCUUUCCUAGCUAAAAAUGACAUCGGAUCUGAAAUCAGGCACAAAGGCUACAAUGAUACUGAAUGUGUUAGUUCAGAAAGUCAGUUUAAAAUGAUCUGUAUGGUUAUGCAAAUUCUUUUUAUUUUUUUAGGUCUAGUUUUCCUAUGCGUGCCCACAAUUGCAUUGCAAGUGCUGUAAGAGGAAGUUUAUUUUUUUGAAUAUAGAGCAAAACAGCUUGCUUUCAUUCUGAGCCCUAGGAAAUUGUUUAUAUGCAAUAAAAAAUGAUAAUUCAUUCUGAAA